rnacentral:rRNA from 1 species
UCCAUGAGUAAAGUGGCGACCGGGUGAGUAACACGUGACUAACCUACCUUCGAGUGGGGGAUAACCUAGGGAAACCUGGGCUAAUACCGCAUAAAAUCUUUGGAGUGGAAAUUCUGGAGAUCAAAGGAGCAAUUCGCUUGAAGAGGGGGUCGCGGCUGAUUAGCUAGUUGGCGGGGUAAUGGCCCACCAAGGCUUUGAUCGGUAGCCGGCCUGAGAGGGCGCACGGCCACACUGGAACUGAAACACGGUCCAGACUCCUACGGGAGGCAGCAGUGGGGAAUUUUGCGCAAUGGGGGAAACCCUGACGCAGCAACGCCGCGUGGAGGAUGAAGUCCCUU